rnacentral:rRNA from 1 species
AGAGUUUGAUCCUGGCUCAGAUUGAACGCUGGCGGCAUGCUUUACACAUGCAAGUCGAACGGCAGCACAGGGAGGCUUGCUCCCGGGUGGCGAGUGGCGCACGGGUGAGUAGUACAUCGGAACGUGUCCUGUUGUGGGGGAUAACUGCUCGAAAGGGUGGCUAAUACCGCAUGAGACCUGAGGGUGAAAGCGGGGGAUCGCAAGACCUCGCGCAAUUGGAGCGGCCGAUGCCCGAUUAGCUAGUUGGUGAGGUAAAGGCUCACCAAGGGCGACGAUCGGUAGCUGGUCUGAGAGGACGACCAGCCACCACUGGGACUGAGACACGGCCCAGACUCCUACGGGAGGCAGCA